rnacentral:tRNA from 1 species
CGGGCCGUAGUAUAACGGUAGUACGCAGGCUUCGGGAGUCUGUAGUCCGGGUUCGAUUCCCGGUGCCCCGACAA